rnacentral:rRNA from 1 species
GAUGAACGCUGGCGGCGUGCCUAAUACAUGCAAGUCGAGCGAACGGACGAGAAGCUUGCUUCUCUGAUGUUAGCGGCGGACGGGUGGGUAACACGUGGAUAACCUACCUAUAAGACUGGGAUAACUUCGGGAAACCGGCGCUAAUACCGGAUAAUAUUUUGAACCGCAUGGUUCAAUAGUGAAAGACGGUCUUGCUGUCACUUAUAGAUGGAUCCGCGCUGCAUUAGCUAGUUGGUAAGGUAACGGCUUACCAAGGCAACGAUGCAUAGCCGACCUGAGAGGGUGGUCGCCCACACUGGAACUGAGACACGGUCCAGACUCCUACGGGAGGCCGCAGUAGGGAAUCUUCCGCAAUGGGCGAAAGCCUGACGGAGCAACGCCGCGUGAGUGAUGAAGGUCUUCGGAUCGUAAAACUCUGUUAUUAGGGAAGAACAUAUGUGUAAGUAACUGUGCACAUCUUGACGGUACCUAAUCAGAAAGCCACGGCUAACUACGUG